UUGAGAACUCAAGACAUCCCGGUUGAGAAACAGGAAGUCUUUUCCCAUUCUGAGACAAAUACAGGACGGUCCUGAUGAGUCUGCGGGGUUGAGGGUCUGAACAAGAAACAGGGAUCUGAGGCUGGCCCUGUUGAGUGACCGACCCAAGAAACCCCGGUCGAGAAACAGGAAGAUGGGAAAGUCCCAGUCAAAGUCAAGUGGAGGAAGCCCCCUUCCAAAGAGGAAGGGUAUUAUUGCUCAGACCCCUCCGCUGGGAUUUCCUGUACAUAAGUUCCAGCCCGGUGAUCGGAUUCUUUUUCAAGCGUGGAAGGAGGAGAAGUUGACGCAGAUCUGGGAAAGCCCAUUCCAGGUACUGCUCACCACAGACACAGCAGUAUGGACUAAAGAGAGAGGCUGGACUCAUCACACCAGAGUAAAGGGACCUGUCCAGCAACCGUUGGAGUGGACUGUGGUCUCCUCCGAUCCUGACCAGUUGAGAACCACCAUCUGGAGGACUCAGAGAGAGACUAACACCUCCUCGUGAACUCCAUGACUCCUGAAGAUUACUCUCAGUGGGGACAGUGGGUCUUGGGAGCUUGCAUUGCCCUACCUCUUAUAUUGUCAUUUGUGGUUGGGAGAA